UACAGGGGGUGCAAACGUUGCUCGGAAUCACUGGGCGUAAAGCGCACGUAGGCGGCUUUCUAAGUCAGGGGUGAAAUCCUGGAGCUCAACUCCAGAACUGCCUUUGAUACUGGAGAGCUUGAGUUCGGGAGAGGUGAGUGGAACUGCGAGUGUAGAGGUGAAAUUCGUAGAUAUUCGCAAGAACACCAGUGGCGAAGGCGGCUCACUGGCCCGAUACUGACGCUGAGGUGCGAAAGCGUGGGGAGCAAACAGG
rnacentral:rRNA from 1 species